GGGCGCGUAGCUCAGGUGGUUAGAGCGCACGCCUGAUAAGCGUGAGGUCGGUGGUUCGAUUCUCGUCACCCGCUUU
rnacentral:tRNA from 1 species